rnacentral:rRNA from 1 species
AACGAACGCUGGCGGCAGGCUUAACACAUGCAAGUCGAGCGCCCCGCAAGGGGAGCGGCAGACGGGUGAGUAACGCGUGGGAACGUACCCUUUGCUACGGAAUAGCUCCGGGAAACUGGAAUUAAUACCGUAUGUGCCCUACGGGGGAAAGAUUUAUCGGCAAAGGAUCGGCCCGCGUUGGAUUAGCUAGUUGGUGGGGUAAUGGCCUACCAAGGCGACGAUCCAUAGCUGGUCUGAGAGGAUGAUCAGCCUCAUUGGGACUGAGACACGGCCCAAACUCCUACGGGAGGCAGCAGUGGGGAAUAUUGGACAAUGGGCGCAAGCCUGAUCCAGCCAUGCCGCGUGAGUGAUGAAGGCCUUAGGGUUGUAAAGCUCUUUCACCGGAGAAGAUAAUGACGGUAUCCGGAGAAGAAGCCCCGGCUAACUUCGUGCCAGCAGCCGCGGUAACAC